CCUGCCUCUAAAACAAAACAAAAAAUACAGGAUUUUUUUAAGCAUUUUAUCGCCCACACCAAGAGCAGACUUGCAGUUCUUUUUCUAACUUCGUUUUUUUCUAGAGAUAAAAGCGUCGUUUUUGUAAUAAGAAGGAGAGAAAAUGUCUUCCCCCGCGCUGGAGAGGAGCUGUGGCGUUCAGCUGGUGAGCGCGGCGCUGCUGCUGCUCUCGCUCUCCGGAUGUUUAUGCAUGGAUGUGAUCAUACCCAAUAGCAUUAACGCACUGAAUGGAACAACUAUCAAAAUCCCAUGCACAUUUACUUCGUGCUAUAAGAUGGAUGCCACCAAGUUUGCUAUGAACUGGACCUACCAAGAGACAUUGAAUGAUACAGAAGAUAUGUUCAUGACGUACCAUAAGAAAAGAGGAAUGGUGCCUCUGCGCUCAGACCGGUUUGGAGAUAGGGUCAUGUUUGCCGGGAACCUGGAUAAGAACGACCUGUCAAUCACUCUAUCAGAUGUUCAGAUCGAGGAUGAAGGCAUUUACAACUGCUAUGUGAGAAACCCCCCAGACCGCAUCCAGGGCCAUGGUGUCUUAAAGCUCAAUGUUGUUACCGAACUUCCCCCUCCGAGGGACUCAACCAUUGCAGUUGCAAUCGGGGCAUCGGUGGGCGGAGCGUUAGCUCUGCUCAUUCUUUCCAUGGUAGUAGUGAAAUGUCUUCGUCGACACAGGAAACAGGAACUGAUUUCAGAGGAGAAGAUGGAGGAGGAGGGAAAACUGGAGGCUGAAGGUGUUGCGGAGGAGGGAACCAAACAACCAUAGCUGGGUCAGAACCAGUGGCCUGUAGAGCCCUCACCCCCCACACCUCCUCUGACAUGUGCACUCCCUUCCUGAAGAUCUAUAGUAACUACUGCUCGAAUCAUCCUCCACUGAUACUUCCAUCCCUUCUGCACCUGUGUGUUUGUGGGCGCGAGUGCGCGCAUGUGUGUGUGUGUGUGUGUGUGUGUGUGUGUGUGUGUGUGUGUGUGCCAGUGCGCACAAGUGUGCUUCUUUGUGUGUGCGUAUUUCUAUAUGUCUGUGUGAAAAGCCAGGGAACACUUUUCUGGAACUUAACUGCUAAACACACAUUACUUUAUUCAUAGCUACCAGUCUAUAUGGCAUUUUCAUACUGGCUAGGGCUGGGCGGUAUCACCUAAAAUGUAUUCCACAAUAAAGUUUGAACUAGGGAUGGGAAUAAACAAUUGAUGAUAAAUUAAUGGUCCUUAAGAAUUUGGUCGAUCACGUGAAAUUAUUAAUUGAUCCGUGUAUUUUUAAUUUUAAUUUAGUUCUGCAGCCAUACGUGAAUAAGCCAAUGAGCUGAGAAUUAAGUUGGAUAAAGUUACAGUCAUAAUUAUAAAACACAGAAUUACAAGAGUAUUAAUUUGAGCAAAACUAGCUUACUGCAUCAAACCUUGCUAGCAUGAAUUACUAGAUUUAAUUUUAUCCAAAACUUAUUUAAACACAAAACACACAAAUAUGCAAGAUUACUGUGAAAACUAACCUCAUGCAUCUUCGGGGGCUAAAACAUAAAACAUUGAACUCCUUGACGUUAUCUUUACAGUUUAAUCUCACCUGAGUUAGUUUUACGAUUGACAGGAAGACUCUUGUCGUCCUUUCAAAAUAAAAGCGUCCAUUAUCAAAACAGGCUUUUUGCAUCGUACUGUAUAUAUAUCUUUUAUUUUUGUCCAUGAAUGCAUGUUUUAAUACAUACUGGAGUAUGUAUAAACACAUGUCGAUAAAUUCAUCUUUAAUGUUAUAGAUGCUUGAGUUGGCAGGUUUUUUCCAAACGCCCAUCCUUAGUUUGAACAUGGAACGGAAACAACAUCACAGCAUCACAAUGUCUUAUUUUAUUGUCAUUAAUUGACUAUUAAUGAACGUUAUCAGCGGUUGUAGCGGUAGAGCUGCAUACUUGAUGGAAGGUAAAAGCUUCACAUUGCAAAUCGAACGUUGAGUGUUUAACUGUUGUGUCACGGUACAUUAAAAAGUCAGCUCGAUUCAAAACAGCUGCAGUCCAAAUUUAACAAGGUGAAAUAUUUUGGUUUAACAUACUGUAAAUCCAGUGUCUUUCAACAUUGCCUUAAAGCCGUGUAUCUCAGCUGCCCGUACAGUCGCCAGGUCUUAACAUAGUGCCUGCGUAAUGUACUUUCUAAUCAUAAAUGACAUCUACUAUUUAUGUGUUAAUGAUGAACCAGAGAGCACUCACAAAUAGACCUUUUUUGUUUCGCAGCAGACAUUUUGACUUGUCAUCGCAGGAGAAAAAGAGGUGUUACUACAAUGCGAGAACAUUAACAAUGGCUCUGUUCUAUUCAAGUGUCCCAGUAAGUCACGGUAGUAGCUGUGUCCAAAAUCAUUCCCUAUUUACUAUAUAGUGCACUGUGUGUGAAUUUUGAGUGUGUAAUAUGUGUGCACUAUAAAGGGCUCUCAGAAAUAAAAUAAAAAAGUACACACAAUGCACAAUACAAUGCAUUUUGAAGAUGUGAAAUUACAGUCCCAUGACAUUACUCACCCGUCACACAAAACAAUAAAGUGUCUGAAAUUUCUAUUUACUCCUCACUAUAGUGAAUGGGUGAUUUUAGACAGAGCCAGUGUGACAGUAAGUGAGCCAGCAUGAACAAUACCAGCACCCUGAAACUGAAGCACCUAAAUGGAAUUCAGCCAGUGAUGGAAAGUAACUAAGUACAUUUACUCAAGUAAUGUACUUUUUGAGCUACUUACAAUUUUGAGGUACUUGUAUUUCCAUUUUACGUAACUUUAUACUUCUACUUCCCUACAUUUUUAGGCAAAUAUUGUACUUUCUACUCCAAUGCAUUAAGCUGCCAGCUUUAGUUACUUUUCAGGUCAAGAUUUUAAAAAAGUAUAAAACAAUCAAUUUAAAGUGAUUUGACUUUUUUAUUGAAUCUAAUAACAGUAUAUUAAGUAGUUAAAUGAGCCCUGUUUUUACAAAAUGAAAACACUGCUUAUAUAAAAGCAUCAAUACAAAUAACCUUAGAAUAUAUUUGGAGUAUAUAAAUCAAAAUGAGUGGGGCCAUUCUGCAUAACGAGUAAUUUUACUUUUGAUAAUUUAAAUACAUUUUGAUGCUGAUACUUUUGUACUUUUACUUAAGUAAAUUUCGAAUGCAGGACUUUUACUUGUAGUGGAGUAAUUUCACAGUGUGGUAUUUACUUAAGUAAAGGAUCUGAAUACUUUUUCCACCACUGAAUUCAGCCAUUAUUAAUGUUAUUUACAACAGUUUUUUUUUCUUUCAGUGAAACGUCAAAAUGUCCUCUGUGAAAAAGAACAAGUUUUCCAAUAUUUUUUCAUCUUUAGGUCCUGCCUCUGUCUUCUGUUUUUCCUUUAUUUCUUCAUCCACUUUUUGUUAGCAUGCAAAAAGUGCGAAAGUAAAAGCAUAAGAUUAUAUUUUUAUUGGUCUGUUAGUGGCUAGUGCCUAAAUGAACAACAGUACUCAUUAAGAUUCAGUGAGUUGCAGUGAUGCUUUUGGAGUACUUAAAAUCAUUGUGUACUAAUACUAACAGCAUAGCAAAAUCUUUGUUUCUACUUUAUCAUUAUUAUUGUCAUUACUGGUUAUACCGUCCACCCCUAUAACAGAAACUUCUCCAUCCAUCCAGCCUCGUCUAGGAGAAUGAUAUGCGAGUGUGCCUGGACACAGAGAGAGAGUCUAGCAGCAGGCACAGAUUUCCGUUCAGUCUGAUAUUUACAGGGUUAAAUUGAGCCGUAAUAUUAGUCCACACAACACUUACAAUAUCGGACUGCAAUAUAUUGUGCAAUUAUUUGCACACACUGCAUAGGGGGAAUUGUCAGUGGCAGUGUUGAGCUUUUCUCUUAGAAUUCUUCCCUUCAAUACAAAUAGAGCCAGCACUGGAAAAUGAGUAUGUUGAGGAACUGAUGUGAAUUAUUGUUGGCUUCAUGACAGCAUUUUUAUCAAAGUCAAACAUAUCAAAGAUAAUUUAAAAGUGGGAAAACUCACAUUGUAACCACUUUCACUUAAUCAAUGUUGGUGCCACGUUUUAUUAAUCUUUAUUGUAGGAAUUAAUAAAGGUUGCCUAAGCACAAACGCAGUUACAUAAAUACCCUUACUAUGACAUAUAUCACACAUGUGUAAGUUGAGUGCCACUUACAGAAAGUAAGACAGGAAAAUAUACCAAAUGAUCCAAAUUACAAUAUAAGAUGCUCAUGUUUGUGGCUGACAAAUAAGAGAUUACUAACAAUAGAAUGUGUUUUUUUGCAACUGAAAACCUGUACAGCGUACUAUACUGCCAUGAGUGCAUGUCCAAUGGUGCAUAUCAAAAAGAAAAAUAUUAUAAGGAAUUCAAUUAUGUUCGGUUAAGUUUCCCAGAAAACCACAGCAUGUUUAAGCUUUCACUCUAUGUAGCAAUCACCAUUUAUCAGUCCAGUACAUGCACACAUAUUUUGCUUGCAUCGCUCAUUUAUUGAGUCUCUGAGGUAUUUGGUUGCACAUUGAUGAUUUACCCAUAAAAUAAUGAAACAAGAAAACUUUUAAUAUUUCAUAUUAAGGGGGUAAAAAGUAAUCCGUACAAAUAAUCUGUCUUUUUAUUCUAACUCCAACUGGAGUCCAAGUUGAGCCCUGUUUUUAUAGAGAUUUCAAAUAGAAACUGAGCCAUCGCACUUCAAUACAAACACAUUUUACAGUGUAUUUUAAACCAGAUUAUUAUGAGAUAAAGUUAUACAACUUUUAAAAAUGACAUUCUCACACAGGCUCCAAAAUAUUGCCUUUACCUCAACAUAUGUGUUUAAACUAUAGAUGUUGUUUUGCACAUUAACACAUUUCUAAUAUAGUGGAGAGCAUGUGAAUAUAAUGGAAAUGAAGGAAAACAUAUGAAGCUCACUUUAAAAAGAUGGUAUGUGGGAAUGUGGGGCUGUUGUAAUAGAAAUAUGGCAUGGUGAUUGUAUGGUUAAAUUGGAAAUGUAUUGGUAGCGUAUUUAUUUUGUCAUUUAUUUGUUUGGAGCACUUUAAAUGUUAAAAAAUAUAUAUUAUCUUAAGAUCACUAUUUAAUGUCCAUUUUUACAUGUUGCAGCAUGUGAGCUUUGUUAAUCUCUGAAUGUCUUAUCAUGUUUAAACUAUGUUGUGAAGACAGGCCAGCUGCCACAGAGCGAUGUCUCUAUGAUACCUGGAAUGUCCAAAGUUGGUUCGCUGUAUCAUCCAGAUGCUGGAGAGUGGUUUGGGUCUUCCAAACCCGGUGGCUCGGCCAGUCCUGGUUUCUGACGUCUUAAAAAAAAAGCCUCUGUGUUUAGGCUAAUUACUUAACUAGGGUAUUUUUUCAUGGUUUGUAAUAUUUAGAGUUUAUAAUUACAGGUGAUGUAUUAUGUGAUCAAUACCAACACAAUCAUACAAUGAAGAACAACAAUAUUUUUUAAUUGGGAGAGCCUUAUCUGUCACAUUGCUUUCUGUGUGAUCAUGCAUGGUCAAGAUUUGUGUAGUUGACCCAUAAGGUGAUGACAGGUUACGAUUUGGGGCAAAUUUAGUGACCUGGAAGGUUUUGUUGGCAAUAUGAAUUCUUACUGUUGAUUGUAAAUACUGUAUUUCUCAAUCAGAAACAAUUAAACUUACAGAAAUGUCAAAACUGCAUCAAGUACUAGACAGAUUAACCAUCAUGCAUUAUGUUUAACAUCUCUGGCUAUGAAUUUGCCCUGAAUAGUUGCUCUUCUAUCACUUUAAAUGUUAGUGAACACCAAACUGAUGCUUGCACUGUGCUGCCUCUGAACAAGCAGCUGUCAUUACAUUAUUUAUUUUAAAUAAAGAUGAUUUAUGAAAAUGUCAA